GAUGAACGCUGGCGGCGUGCUUAACACAUGCAAGUCGAACGGAGUACCCCUGAAGGAGUUUUCGGACAACUGAUGGGACUACUUAGUGGCGGACGGGUGAGUAACGCGUGAGUAACCUGCCUUGGAGUGGGGAAUAACAGCUGGAAACAGCUGCUAAUACCGCAUAAUAUAUCUGUGUCGCAUGGCAGUGGAUAUCAAAGAUUUAUCGCUCUGAGAUGGACUCGCGUCUGAUUAGCUAGUUGGCGGGGUAACGGCCCACCAAGGCGACGAUCAGUAGCCGGACUGAGAGGUUGGCCGGCCACAUUGGGACUGAGACACGGCCCAUACUCCUACGGGAGGCAGCAGUGGGGAAUAUUGGGCAAUGGGCGCAAGCCUGACCCAGCAACGCCGCGUGAAGGAAGAAGGCUUUCGGGUUGUAAACUUCUUUUCUCAGGGACGAAGCAAGUGACGGUACCUGAGGAAUAAUCCACGGCUAACUACGUGCCAGCAGCCGCGGCAAUACGUAGGUGGCAAGCGUUAUCCGGAUUUACUGGGUGUAAAGGGCGUGUACGCGGGACUGCAAGUCAGAUGUGAAAACCACGGGCUCAACCUGUGGCCUGCAUUUGAAACUGUAGUUCUUGAGUACUGGAGAGGCAGACGGAAUUCCUAGUGUAGCGGUGAAAUGCGUAGAUAUUAGGAGGAACACCAGUGGCGAAGGCGGUCUGCUGGACAGCAACUGACGCUGAGGCGCGAAAGCGUGGGGAGCAAACAGGAUUAGAUACCCUGGUAGUCCACGCUGUAAACGAUGGAUACUAGGUGUGGGGGGACUGACCCCCUCCGUGCCGCAGUUAACACAAUAAGUAUCCCACCUGGGGAGUACGAUCGCAAGGUUGAAACUCAAAGGAAUUGACGGGGGCCCGCACAAGCGGUGGAGUAUGUGGUUUAAUUCGAAGCAACGCGAAGAACCUUACCAGGGCUUGACAUCCCGGUGACCGCUGUAGAGAUACAGUUUUCCCUUCGGGGACACUGGUGACAGGUGGUGCAUGGUUGUCGUCAGCUCGUGUCGUGAGAUGUUGGGUUAAGUCCCGCAACGAGCGCAACCCUUAUUGUUAGUUGCUACGCAAGAGCACUCUAGCGAGACUGCCGUUGACAAAACGGAGGAAGGUGGGGACGACGUCAAAUCAUCAUGCCCCUUAUGUCCUGGGCCACACACGUACUACAAUGGUGGUCAACAGAGGGAAGCAAUACCGCGAGGUGGAGCAAAUCCCUAAAAGCCAUCCCAGUUCGGAUCGCAGGCUGCAACCCGGCCUGCGCGAAGUUGGAAUCGGUAGUAAUCGCGGAUCAGCAUGCCGCGGUGAAUACGUUCCCGGGCCU
rnacentral:rRNA from 1 species